GCUGGGCCCAGUGGUGUGCACCUGUAGACCUAGCUGUUUCGGAGGCUGAGGCAGGAGGAUCACUUGAGCUCAGGAGUUCUGGGCUGUAGUGUCCUAUGCCAAUUGGGUAUCAGCACUAAGUUCAGCAUCAAUAUGGUGACCUCAUCUGGGUACAGUGGCUAAUGCCUAUAAUCCCAGCAUUUUAGGAGGCCAAGGUGGGAGGAUCACUUGAGCCUCAGAAUUCGAGGCUGCAGUGAGCUAUGACCAUGCCCACUGCACUUCAGACUUCAACCUGGGCAACAGAGGCCCUGCCUCUUAAAAAAAACAAAAGAAAGAAAAACAUGGUGUCCUCCUGGGAGUGAAAGACCAGCAGGUUGCCUACAAAGGGGUGAACUGACCCAGGUUGGAAACUGAGCAGGUCAAAACUCCUGUGCUGAUUAGUAGUGGGAUUGCACCUUUGAAUAUCCACUGCACUGUAGCCUGGCCAACACAGUGAGACCCCAUGUCUA
rnacentral:SRP_RNA from 1 species